CCAGAAAACAUCAGCUCCUACCUGUUGAAGCUGAAGUCCUCUAACCACAGACCUGAAGCAGAGGAGUAACGAAGACAAGCAAGUCAGAAUGACAGCAGCAUCAAAGAUCAUCAUAAUAAUUCAGAAAAUUCCAACUUUCUUUCCAGAAAGACAACAAAGAAAAGAAGACCUGACAUUCUUCCAACCAGCAUUUAACUAAGAUUGAAAGCCCUUCUUUUGAAAAUCACCAUGGCCAUCAAUCAAAUAAAAUUAUCAGCUUGUGA